rnacentral:tRNA from 2 species
GGAGAGGUGACCGAGUUGGCCGAAGGUGCUCGCCUGCUAAGCGAGUGUUCCGUUAAAACGGGACCCAGGGUUCAAAUCCCUGCCUCUCCGCCA